UACGUAGGGUGCAAGCGUUAAUCGGAAUACUGGGCGUAAAGCGUGCGCAGGCGGUGAUGUAAGACAGGUGUGAAAUCCCCGGGCUUAACCUGGGAACUGCAUUGGUGACUGGCAGGCUUUGAGUGUGGCAGAGGGAGGUAGAAUUCCACGUGUAGCAGUGAAAUGCGUAGAGAUGUGGAGGAAUACCGAUGGCGAAGGCAGCCUCCUGGGCCAACACUGACGCUCAUGCACGAAAGCGUGGGGAGCGAAACAGG
rnacentral:rRNA from 1 species